rnacentral:rRNA from 1 species
UAAUACCAGCUCUCCGAGUGGUAAGGAUGUUUAUUGGGCCUAAAGCGUCCGUAGCCGGUUCAACAAGUCCUCCGUUAAAUCCAGCGAUUCAAUCGUUGGACUGCGGGGGAUACUGUUGGACUAGGGGACGGGAGAGGCCGACGGUAUUCCCGGAGUAGGGGUGAAAUCCUAUAAUCCCGGGAGGACCACCAGUGGCGAAGGCUGUCGGCUAGAACGAGCUCGACGGUGAGGGACGAAAGCUGGGGGAGCGAACCGGAUUAGAUACCCGGGUAGUCCCAGCUGUAAACGAUGCGGGCUAGGUGUUAGGGUGGCUACGAGCCACUCUAGUGCCGCAGCGAAGGCGUUAAGCCCGCCGCCUGGGGAGUACGGCCGCAAGGCUG